AAAUCUCUGUAUUCAAAAUGAUUGUGAAAGUUGGUUUCAUCCUCUCGUUCAGCACUCACGAAAAAUGCGGCACACGUUUUUCCCCCCAACCAAACACGGCCUUCAUCAUCCUUCUUUCUUCCUCGCACUGUCAUAUAUCGUAAUUGCUGACAUGGUUCAUAUCUUUUGUAAAAACCUUGUAGCUUCUGGGCCAAUCGGCCGGUUCCUAUAUGGCUUUUCGAAACUCUUAAAAGCAACGGCUGUAUUUAUGUAUUUUAUAGUCUCCUCUUAAAAUAUGGGAUGAAAUCAUCUUUCAUAUUCUUUUUGUAGGUCACCCCUACACACAGUCUAUACCAUUAUUCCAGUCUCACGGUUUCGUGUUUGAUUCGCUCUUGCGGAAACUAAAGCCCAACACUGCAACGGCCCCAAAGUCAAACAACUCCAGUUCCGUAUACUAACAAGAAGAAAAUAAAAAUAUCAAUUUAUUUUUUUAAAAAAUCCCAUUUGGCUCUAUCUCUUUCUCACUAAAGAAGUUUUUUUUUCGGAUAAAAACGAACGGCUCUUUGAUUUAUACUGUUAGGUCUAGUAAGGGAAUGACAAAUCGGGGUUACGCUUGUACCAGACACUAUAGCCGAGAUCUCUGGAAAAAUAUAUAAAUAUAUCGGUUCGUCUUGUUCCCAAUGCCCUAGGAGAAGAAUCGUUUUCAUAGUUCGCUUUUUUUUUUUUUUUGGUUCGUUUUAGAUGGGGGGGGAGUAGAUUGUGUCAAGCAUGAUAAAAUACGACCGAAAGAUUCUGAUCAGAGUCACGCCCAUGUUUCGAAAUCUGUUUUUGACCUCUUUCUAUACAUAUACCAAUCGUAUAAUGUAUUGCCGUUUGCCUGAACGAUUUAUUUAUGUUCCCGUUUUUUUUUUUUUUUUUUGGGGUGGUUGAAUUACAUCGAGGGGUUGAAGACGGGCUCCAUCUGGAGUCAAGCAAUUAUUCAUGGAGCAAUCAAAUCAUCGGGACAAUUGGACUGCACGCUGAGAGCUGUAUGCCUGUUUAACGUUUUGUAUCGGCGUGUUUUACUCAACAAAUCUUCAUCUCCCCCACCAAGAAAACUGUGAAACGUCCAAGGUCAACAACCCAUAUGGCCAAACGACUCGACAGAAUUUAUUAUCGUCUCUAAUACCAUGUAGGGCAGCACAGACUAGAAUGGCAAAUCAUCUGCGCAACCUCAGUUAAAUAUUUCUUCAAAGAAUAAACAGAAUCUUUCGAGCUGCA